rnacentral:misc_RNA from 1 species
AACCAAAACUUAGAGAUGUUUUUAACUAUUGUUCAAAAUAUAGGGACUUAAAUGUUAAAUAUGACAUAACACAGGGAUAGAAAAGUAAUUUAACCAAAAUUAUUUAUUCUGCACCAUGGCUAUACCAAUUUUCAUUUCUUGCCUUCAAAAAUAUGGUCUUGAAACCUUUUUCUUUUCAUGUAGGGAAAAAAAAUUCUUAUCAUUUAUUCUGCCCCAAGAAACUCCUCCCCCAACCCUCUCAUGAAUCCAGCCCCCAAAAUGAG